rnacentral:rRNA from 1 species
ACGGGUGAGUAACACGUAGGUAAUCUACCUAUAAGACUGGGAUAACUUCGGGAAACCGGAGCUAAUACCGGAUAAUAUUUCGAACCGCAUGGUUCGAUAGUGAAAGAUGGCUUUGCUAUCACUUAUAGAUGGACCUGCGCCGUAUUAGCUAGUUGGUAAGGUAACGGCUUACCAAGGCAACGAUACGUAGCCGACCUGAGAGGGUGAUCGGCCACACUGGAACUGAGACACGGUCCAGACUCCUACGGGAGGCAGCAGUAGGGAAUCUUCCGCAAUGGGCGAAAGCCUGACGGAGCAACGCCGCGUGAGUGAUGAAGGUCUUCGGAUCGUAAAACUCUGUUAUUAGGGAAGAACAAACGUGUAAGUAACUGUGCACGUCUUGACGGUACCUAAUCAGAAAGCCACGGCUAACUACGUGCCAGCAGCCGCGGUAAUACGUAGGUGGCAAGCGUUAUCCGGAAUUAUUGGGCGUAAAGCGCGCGUAGGCGGUUUUUUAAGUCUGAUGUGAAAGCCCACGGCUCAACCGUGGAGGGUCAUUGGAAACUGGAAAACUUGAGUGCAGAAGAGGAAAGUGGAAUU